rnacentral:rRNA from 1 species
GACGAACGCUGGCGGCGUGCCUAAUACAUGCAAGUCGAGCGAAGUUUUUCUGGUGCUUGCACUAGAAAAACUUAGCGGCGAACGGGUGAGUAACACGUAAAGAACCUGCCUCAUAGACUGGGACAACUAUUGGAAACGAUAGCUAAUACCGGAUAACAGCAUUAACUGCAUGGUUGAUGUUUAAAAGUUGGUUUUGCUAACACUAUGAGAUGGCUUUGCGGUGCAUUAGCUAGUUGGUGGGGUAAAGGCCUACCAAGGCGACGAUGCAUAGCCGACCUGAGAGGGUGAUCGGCCACACUGGGACUGAGACACGGCCCAGACUCCUACGGGAGGCAGCAGUAGGGAAUCUUCCGCAAUGGGCGAAAGCCUGACGGAGCAACGCCGCGUGAGUGAAGAAGGAUUUCGGUUCGUAAAGCUCUGUUGUUAGGGAAGAAUGAUUGUGUAGUAACUAUACACAGUAGAGACGGUACCUAACCAGAAAGCCACGGCUAACUACGUGCCAGCAGCCGCGGUAAUACGUAGGUGGCAAGCGUUGUCCGGAAUUAUUGGGCGUAAAGCGCGCGCAGGUGGUUUAAUAAGUCUGAUGUGAAAGCCCACGGCUCAACCGUGGAGGGUCAUUGGAAACUGUUAAACUUGAGUGCAGGAGAGAAAAGUGGAAUUCCUAGUGUAGCGGUGAAAUGCGUAGAGAUUAGGAGGAACACCAGUGGCGAAGGCGGCUUUUUGGCCUGUAACUGACACUGNGGCGCGAAAGCGUGGGGAGCAAACAGG